rnacentral:rRNA from 1 species
UACGUAGGUCCCGAACGUUGCGCGAAUUUACUGGGCGUAAAGGGUCCGUAGGCGGUUUAGCAAGUGGUUGGUGAAAUUUCACGGCUCAACCGUGAAACUGCCUUCCAAACUGCUAAACUUGAGGCAGGGAGAAGUCGGCGGAAUUCCCGGUGUAGCGGUGAAAUGCGUAGAGAUCGGGAGGAACACCAGUGGCGAAGGCGGCCGACUGGAACUGUCCUGACGCUGAGGGACGAAAGAUAGGGGAGCAAACCGG